ensembl:processed_transcript Gm12356 predicted gene 12356
GUUUAGAUGCUUCAACUACAGAAGGAAGGCAGAAGCAAUAACAGGCGCUAGAAUCGGUCGGAUGGAGUAGAUCACUGGGAAGGACUGAAGAAAAGGCUCGGUGAGACUAAGAUGCAACCCCAGAGGAGGAGAGCAGUCCGCAGACUGGAGAACAGGUUCGGUCAUCGGCUGGGGUCGAGGGAGUCAGGGUGGUUGGGCGGGCACUUCUGACCCCAGCUCCAUUGACCGAAGGAACCAAGGUAGGUGGAGGCUACGCAGAGGUCCCAGCAAGAAGUCGCAUCACCCUGGCCGCUGUCACCGGUGAUCGCGGCACGACCCCGACGUGGGCUCCCGUACCUUCUAAGGUGACAGUG